UCGAGCGAGCAGAAUUAACAGAAUCACUUCCGUGAGGACGUUUAUGAAGAGGCCCCACAUGGGUGAGUAACACGUGGGUAACCUGCCCUUACAUCUGGGAAACCACUUGGAAACAGGUGCUAAUACCGGAUGAGAUCAAGUUUUGCAUGAGGCUUGAUUAAAAGGCGGCAAAGGCUGUGACGGACGGACGGACGAGCGGUGCGUUAGCUGGUUGGUAAGGUAACGGCUUACCAAUGCGAUGAUGCAUAGCCAAGUUGAGAGACUGACCGGCCACUGUGGGACUGACACACGGCCUACACUCCUACGGGAGGCAGCAUAAUGGAAUCUGCCACAGGGGGCGAAACCCUGAUGGAGCAACGCCGCGGAAGUGAAAAGGGUUUUCGGAUCGUAUAGCUCUGUUGUUGGAGGAAAGAGACAGAGGUAGUAACUGGCCUUUAUUUGAUGCUAGUCAACCAGAAAGUCACGGCUAACUACCUGCCAUCCACCGCGGUAAUACUGGGGUGGCGGGAUUGUCCACGAUUUAUUGGGCGUAAAGCCAGCGCACGCCGACACAUACGUCUGACGUGAAAGCCCUCUGCUCAACCGAGGAAUUGCAUCAGAAACUGUGUUUCUUGAGUGCAGAAGAGAAGAGUGUAACUCCAUGUGUAGCGGUGGAAUGCGCAGAUAUGUGGAAUAACACGCAUGUGGAAGGCAGCUCCCUGAGGCUAGAACUGAUGCUGAGGCUCGAAAGCAUGGGUAGCCCACAGGAUAAGAUACGUAUGCGGUGCGUGCCGUAGACUAUGAGGAGCUAGAGCCUGGGAGGUUUCCCCUCUCCUGCUGCAGCUGACUCAUUGAGCACUCACUCUACGAGUACGACCGCACCGGUGAAACUCACAGGAAUUGACGG
rnacentral:rRNA from 1 species